rnacentral:rRNA from 3 species
CAAACGACUCUCGGCAACGGAUAUCUCGGCUCUCGCAUCGAUGAAGAACGUAGCGAAAUGCGAUACUUGGUGUGAAUUGCAGAAUCCCGUGAACCAUCGAGUCUUUGAACGCAAGUUGCGCCCGAAGCCGUCAGGCUGAGGGCACGUCUGCCUGGGCGUCACG